rnacentral:rRNA from 1 species
UACGUAGGGGGCUAGCGUUGUCCGGAAUCAUUGGGCGUAAAGAGCGUGUAGGCGGCCCGGUAAGUCCGCUGUGAAAGUCGGGGGCUCAACCCUCGAAAGCCGGUGGAUACUGUCGGGCUAGAGUGCGGAAGAGGCGAGUGGAAUUCCUGGUGUAGCGGUGAAAUGCGCAGAUAUCAGGAGGAACACCGAUUGCGAAGGCAGCUCGCUGGGACGUAACUGACGCUGAGACGCGAAAGCGUGGGAGCGAACAGG